rnacentral:rRNA from 1 species
UACGGGGGGGGCAAGCGUUGUUCGGAAUUACUGGGCGUAAAGGGCUCGUAGGCGGCCAACUAAGUCAGACGUGAAAUCCCUCGGCUUAACCGGGGAACUGCGUCUGAUACUGGAUGGCUUGAGUUUGGGAGAGGGACGCGGAAUUCCAGGUGUAGCGGUGAAAUGCGUAGAUAUCUGGAGGAACACCGGUGGCGAAGGCGGCGUCCUGGACCAAUACUGACACUGAAACGCGAAAGCCAGGGGAGCAAACGGG